rnacentral:rRNA from 1 species
GACGAACGCUGGCGGCGUGCCUAAUACAUGCAAGUAGAACGCUGAAGCGAGGAGCUUGCUCUUCUUGGAUGAGUUGCGAACGGGUGAGUAACGCGUAGGUAACCUGCCUUGUAGCGGGGGAUAACUAUUGGAAACGAUAGCUAAUACCGCAUAACAAUGGAUGACACAUGUCAUUUAUUUGAAAGGGGCAAUUGCUCCACUACAAGAUGGACCUGCGUUGUAUUAGCUAGUAGGUGAGGUAAUGGCUCACCUAGGCGACGAUACAUAGCCGACCUGAGAGGGUGAUCGGCCACACUGGGACUGAGACACGGCCCAGACUCCUACGGGAGGCAGCAGUAGGGAAUCUUCGGCAAUGGGGGCAACCCUGACCGAGCAACGCCGCGUGAGUGAAGAAGGUUUUCGGAUCGGAAAGCUCUGUUGUAAGUCAAGAACGGGUGUGAGAGUGGAAAGUUCACACUGUGACGGUAGCUGACCAGAAAGGGACGGCUAACUACGUG